CACUGACAUUAGAUACCCCGGUAGUCCCAGCCGUAAACAAUGUGCGUUAGGUGUGUCGGUAACCACGUGUUACUGAUGCGCCGAAGAGAAAUCGUGAAACGCACCACCUGGGAAGUACGGUCGCAAGGCUGAAACUUAAAGGAAUUGGCGGGGGAGCACCACAACAGGUGGAGCCUGCGGUUUAAUUGGAUUCAACGCCGGACAUCUCACCGGAUAAGACAGCUGAAUGAUUGUCAAUCUGAAGGUUUUACAUGACUAGCUG
rnacentral:rRNA from 1 species